rnacentral:rRNA from 1 species
UACAGAGGGGGCAAGCGUUGUUCGGAAUUACUGGGCGUAAAGGGCGCGUAGGCGGCCUUCUAAGUCGAACGUGAAAUCCCCGGGCUCAACCCGGGAACUGCGUCCGAUACUGGAAGGCUAGAAUCCGGGAGAGGGAUGCGGAAUUCCAGGUGUAGCGGUGAAAUGCGUAGAUAUCUGGAGGAACACCGGUGGCGAAGGCGGCAUCCUGGACCGGUAUUGACGCUGAGGCGCGAAAGCUAGGGGAGCAAACGGG